rnacentral:rRNA from 1 species
GCCAGGAGCGAUAGAACGAUGAAUGCAUCAGUUCUCAUGGAUCACUGAGCUGAAGCAACGUUGCGCAUAGUUAGUAUCCGUAUGGGUGACCGGAUGGAAGAUCUCGACAAUCGCGAGCU